rnacentral:rRNA from 1 species
CCUACGGGAGGCAGCAGUGGGGAAUUUUGGACAAUGGGCGAAAGCCUGAUCCAGCAAUGCCGCGUGAGUGAAGAAGGCCUUCGGGUUGUAAAGCUCUUUUGUCAGGGAAGAAACGGUGAGAGCUAAUAUCUCUUGCUAAUGACGGUACCUGAAGAAUAAGCACCGGCUAACUACGUGCCAGCAGCCGCGGUAAUACGUAGGGUGCAAGCGUUAAUCGGAAUUACUGGGCGUAAAGCGUGCGCAGGCGGUUUUGUAAGUCUGAUGUGAAAUCCCCGGGCUCAACCUGGGAAUUGCAUUGGAGACUGCAAGGCUAGAAUCUGGCAGAGGGGGGUAGAAUUCCACGUGUAGCAGUGAAAUGCGUAGAUAUGUGGAGGAACGCCGAUGGCGAAGGCAGCCCCCUGGGUCAAGAUUGACGCUCAUGCACGAAAGCGUGGGGAGCAAACAGGAUUAGAUACCCUGGUAGUCCACGCCCUAAACGAUGUCUACUAGUUGUCGGGUCUUAAUUGACUUGGUAACGCAGCUAACGGNGUAGAAGUACGACCGUCCGUGGGGUAGGUUACGGUUCGUCGAGAAGUUAAACGUUAACGAAGUUAGAGUUAGACGGCGNGAGACGNGCGACGGACGACGACGAGGGAGGAGG